UUCAUAUUUCUAACGUCGUCUCUCUUCAGAUGGCAAAUUCGAUUUUUUUUCCUCUUUUGUUCUUGGAUUUAUUGUUCUGUUGUCUGAUCAUCUGAUCAUGUUUGUUGUGCAGGAACCGAAUCUCUAUCUCAAAAUAAAUGACCCACGAUAAGAGGGAAAGAUACAACCCUAAAAGCAAGGUUCUAUCUUCUUCUCUUUUUAUUUUGAUCCCUAAUCGUUGGCUAAUAUUUUUCAUGUCGGCAUAUUUUGAUGUCCAGAGAGAUGAUUUGCAAGGCAUUAUCAUCAGUCAAGUGAGUUUAAAGUAACCAACAGGAUUCUUUGAUGCAUAAUGAUUUGCUGAUAUUAUUUAUAGAUUAUUAAUCUGGAAUAUAAAUUGUCUUAUUUCUUACUUGAUUUCCUAAUUCUGUUUUUCUCUCCAAAACCAUGAACUUUAAGAAUCUUAUUUUAGUGUCUGGUGUCUGAUCAUUGCGGGGAUCCUCUCCAUGCUAGAUAAACAUUUUCGUAAUGGAAGUUUAUAUUGGUAGAUAUCUUUCAUUAUACCAAAAAUCCCAAUGCUUUUAUCUGUCUCAUGUACAAAAAUGUGAUUUCCAUUCAGACGGCAGGAGAAUUGCCAUUUGUAAGGAAGAAUGGAAACAUGCAAAAGAAAAAUGUGUUGCUACGAUGCCACCAUUAUUCGGAUUCUAAAGUUAUCUGAAAGAGAGAUGGUCUAUGAUGGCAGAAAGCAUGUAAGCCAAGGUUCCAAAUUGAUCACUUCCUAUAGUAUUUGGUUUUAUGCUUGCUAAAACCGUAUGCACAAAGCUUAAAAAUUAGUUAUUUGCCAAGUACAAUGCUUUUUUAGAAUUCUUUUUUGAUGGUAUUUGUUGAUUCCAUUAAUUUCACUGCUGCUACUAGGAGUAUUACUUGUUGUAUAAUAAUAAUGAAAAUGUUUUCAUUGAGUUUACAGGGUUUGUUAGGAUCUAAAUUAUGAUACAAGAUUUUGGACAUGAUAAAGUACUCCAGAAUUUUUCAUUUGCGCUUUUAAUUUUUUCUGUACAAAAUUCGAAGAGAUCAAUAAAGUACACAGAAUACAAUGAGAAAAAAGGUUUUUACCGAUAUGAAGAUAACUACACUAGGUAUAUAUUGAAUAUUGAAGAUCCGAAGAUCGAAUUGAUAUUGGUGAACAUAUCAGAAUCAAAAAAAUGAAAUACGAUAGUUUGUCAAGCAGAACCACUUUCAAGAUCAACACAACGAAGUAAGGAUUGCAUCGUAACAAUUUCCAACACAAGUCAACUACUAGUACUAAUACUAUUAAUGUUUUCAUCAAUUACCUAUAAAACAUAGGAAGGAUGAUACGUGUCGAUAUUCGACAAAGGUUUUAUCCCUCUAGAUUUUCCUGGCGAGGUUUUAAUAAGGAAAAUUACUAGAUACACAGUGGUCAUUGAGGAGAGAAACUAGAUCUGAAGAAUUACAUCUGAAGCACUAUAUGUGAAGCACUACAUAUAAAGCACUACUGCUUGACCGCACAAUAGGGAGUGUUCUAGGGUCUUUGGCGUCCCAUGUAUAUGUAACAAGG